UUGGAUCCCCAGCAGAGGGCGCCAGCCCAACGUGUGCCCUCCGCGGAGGGUCGGGAGCCUCCCGCUGAGGGCUCCACAGCUGUAGGUGGCUGCCUUAUCAUCUCCGAGACUCACAGGAUUUGCAGGCGUUCCCAAAGCCACACGGAAAAGCCGGGAGUCAGAGUCCCGUGUCAGAAGCCGCUCUGCCCCUUCCGACUGGCUGUGUGGUUUUAACCUUUCAACGACCCUUUUCUACACCGCGCUCUGAUGCUGACGUGUGACCAUUAGCACGUCUGUGGAAACUCAAGGCCUGUUUCUGCUUCCCGGACGGCAGGACCAUGUGACUCUGCUCUGCCUCCCAUAGGGUUGGCACACCAGGUAAAUGUCUGUGAGGCACCGAAGCUGACAGCUGUCACAACAGGAAGAAUGACACAUGCUUGCUACCUGCUUCCCUGCCUUCUGGGUGGAGACAAAGCAUUUUGAGAAGGGUCAUGAGCUAGAGACUGAGAGACUGGCCAGAGACUGAUAAGGGCAUGAGGCUUGGAGGACAUGAGGCUGGAAUCCUCAGCACCUGUGCCAAAACCUGGGCGUGGUGAAGAAGGAGGUAACCUCCGAGGAAGGACUGAAACAUUGUGGCGUUUACACAAAGGCCAAAGUGGGCAAGCCAUUUUCAUUUGCUUUGAAAAUCUGGAUUUAUAAAUUUUUUUAAAAUUUG